rnacentral:rRNA from 1 species
GAUGAACGCUGGCGGCGUGCUUAACACAUGCAAGUCGAACGGAAAGGCCCAAGCUUGCUUGGGUACUCGAGUGGCGAACGGGUGAGUAACACGUGGGUGAUCUGCCCUGCACUUCGGGAUAAGCCUGGGAAACUGGGUCUAAUACUGGAUAGGACCACUUCUUGGAUGUUGUGGUGGAAAGUUUUUUCGGUGUGGGAUGAGCUCGCGGCCUAUCAGCUUGUUGGUGGGGUAAUGGCCUACCAAGGCGUCGACGGGUAGCCGGCCUGAGAGGGUGUACGGCCACAGUGGGACUGAGAUACGGCCCAGACUCCUACGGGAGGCAGCAGUGGGGAAUAUUGCACAAUGGGCGCAAGCCUGAUGCAGCGACGCCGCGUGGGGGAUGACGGCCUUCGGGUUGUAAACUCCUUUCGCUAGGGACGAAGCGUUUUGUGACGGUACCUGGAGAAGAAGCACCGGCUAACUACGUG